UCUUGGAAUUGCAGCUAUGGAGUUGUUUGCAGGUUCGUCGGAUGGAAUUUUAGAAAAAAGAAUUGUAGCUUGGUGUUAAGUUUGGUGUUUGAGAAUCUGAACUUUUGUUAAUUAUGUUUAAUGCUUCCUCGUGUGAGGGCUAGAGUCUAGAACUCGUUUUUAUUUUGUUGCCGAUGUACAUCCUUCUUUGAAGGAUGUAGAGACCGGGUUGAUAUAUUCAUUAAUUAUCUGAAAAUAUAAGAGUAUGGUUCCUGUGUGUGUGUGUGUGUAUGCUCUGAUCUUCUGACAAAUGUCACUGAUAUCUUGCUGUACUAAUAUCUAGAUUUCAAUCUAUAUAUCAAGAUCAAAAUUUAAUUGUUGGUGUGAAUAUAUAGUGGCUAAACACUAUUCAUGAAUCUUUGUGAAAUAAUGUGUGUGCAACGUACGCACUUCAGAUUGUCACAUGCAAAAAUAUUAUGAUCAAUGAAGCAAUGCCGUCAGAAAUGCCCUUUUCUCAUUCUUAAAAUGAAAAAUGGCCAGAAUUGAAUAAGCUCUAGUGUUCACUUACAAAUAGGUGUAGUUCGAGACAGGAUUAAUCUGAGUGGAUAGAGAAAGAGUUAAACGUCUCCCGUAAAUAAUAAAUGGCUUAGUGUUCCACAUAACUGAUCAAUAUGUCCUUAUCUAAUACUAUGAGUUAAUUUGAUCAAGUCUACGCACUAGUUCAUACGUAUGCGCUUGGUCUCUGACCGUGUACACUCCCCCCUGGAAGACUUGUAGUCAACUCACACUAUGAAGGGUCCUAAUUCCCGAUUAAUAAUGUUCAUGUCCAAAAAAGAAAGAAGUUUACCAGCAUAGGAAUAUAUAUAUAAAUGAAGGAUCAAAACAUUUUGUUUAGAACUAAGGAGUUUCAAUUUGCCAUUGCAUUAAUUGAGGUUGAGGCUUGAGGACAACAGAAGAAAAACUGUAUCAAGGAUACAUAGGUCAAUAGUAAGAAUAAGUCAAAACACUAACACACAAUACUACACAAGUUGAUCAGGAUAACACUGUAUAGUUAGGGGGAUGGGAGUGUAUGAGAAUGAGAAUCACAAGUAUGAAUAAGUUCAUGGAUAUAUCUUAAACUUAACUAGGAAGGAGAAAUGGUUAGUGGAACUUUAUGGAUGCUGCAUGCAUGAAGUGAUGAAGAUGGACUGCCGACAUGCAUGUGCUUGUUACUUUCUUGUUUCCUUUAAUUUUUACCUCUUUUAGAAGAAAAGUAUAUGCUUGUGAGUCAUAAAAUACUACUAAUUGUGGACUAUUACUGCUAAGGAAAGAAACAAAGGUUGGUUCGAUCAGUUGGUAAUUCGAUAUAUAUAUAUAACAAAGAAGAUUCGAGACUUCUCUAUGUGCAUUCUUUGUUUUCUUGUUAUAAGCUAGCAUGCUUAAAAUGUGCAGGAAGAGCUCCAAUCUAGAACUAGUAGUAAGGUAGGGUUCUCAAGCAAUUAAUGGAGCCCUCCACUAUGGCAAAGAUGCAUGGACAUAUGUUAAGAAAAUGGAACAACAUAUGAUCACUUCGGGUUCCUAAGUGUCAAAAAGAAAUGGUCUUCAUUCAAAGGAGGAGAAUAUGCAUCUUCUUGGUGAAUUAUGAAGAAUGCUGAAAAUGGCUAUUAGCAUAUAUGUGAUGUUUGAUGAUUUUAAUUUAUUAAUGGCAUGUCCUUUUACUGUAGUGCAGAAUCUCAAUCCAAACUUGAGCAAAACAUUAUGCCCCCCCCCCAAAAAAAAAAAGCGUAUUAAUUUUCCGCUUUCACCUCAGCUCAUGAAAUAUAGCUAGCUCACUCAAAAGUAGGACAACUCAAAGGAAGAAAUUAAGAUCGAUGGAGGAAAGAAAAACCUUGAUAGUUGGGGUAGUAUGCAUCCAUUUAAUUGGUUUAAUUUUUCAAUCUGUUUGUUUUAAUAGUGCAGACGAGCUAGCGUUAUCACCCUCAAUCGUACAAGGUUUCGUCAUUCUUUUUAGUAGUAAUUAAACCAUUAAAUUCAAGUUGCAAUAUAGUACAUACUAUCUACCAACCCCACAUAUAGAUCCUAACAUUGCCUGUUUAUGACCAUGUUAAUGUUUCUUCCUCCUCCUUAAUUUCCCCAAAAAUUUCCCCAUAUUGGCAUACCACACAGAAGCCAGAAACUAUAAUUCCCAUUCUCCUUAAUUUUGGCAGACUCAAGAAACGAAGAAAAAGAAAGGGCAAACAGGUACACACAACUCAAAUCAGCAAAGCGCAGUUAGGAUCAGCGGCUCCAGAAAUUAAUCCAUUCAAGACAGCAAGAGAGGUAAACAAGAAGUGGUUGGAGAGAGGCAAAAUAUAUGAACGAAUCGACGAAAUUAAACACGAAGCAAUCAAGGAGAUACAGGUACUAAUUAACAAAUUAACAUCUGUGUGUGCUAGCUUAGCUAGCUCGUGUAGUAUAGUACCUUCUCUUCCGGCCGUCGCGCGGCGAGGACUCCGGCGGCGAGAUGCCAAAGACGCCGCCGCCCCCGGGAGGGCUGUACGACGCCGACGC
rnacentral:sRNA from 1 species